AGCUUGCUCCAUGAUUCAGCGGCGGACGGGUGAGUAAUGCCUAGGAAUCUGCCUGGUAGUGGGGGACAACGUUUCGAAAGGAACGCUAAUACCGCAUACGUCCUACGGGAGAAAGCAGGGGACCUUCGGGCCUUGCGCUAUCAGAUGAGCCUAGGUCGGAUUAGCUAGUUGGUGGGGUAAAGGCCUACCAAGGCGACGAUCCGUAACUGGUCUGAGAGGAUGAUCAGUCACACUGGAACUGAGACACGGUCCAGACUCCUACGGGAGGCAGCAGUGGGGAAUAUUGGACAAUGGGCGAAAGCCUGAUCCAGCCAUGCCGCGUGUGUGAAGAAGGUCUUCGGAUUGUAAAGCACUUUAAGUUGGGAGGAAGGGCAGUAAGUUAAUACCUUGCUGUUUUGACGUUACCAACAGAAUAAGCACCGGCUAACUUCGUGCCAGCAGCCGCGGUAAUACGAAGGGUGCAAGCGUUAAUCGGAAUUACUGGGCGUAAAGCGCGCGUAGGUGGUUUGGUAAGAUGGGAUGUGAAAUCCCCGGGCUCAACCUGGGAACUGCAUCCAUAACUGCCUGACUAGAGUACGGUAGA
rnacentral:rRNA from 1 species